rnacentral:rRNA from 1 species
ACGAACGCUGGCGGCGUGCCUAAUACAUGCAAGUCGAACGCUUCUUUCCUCCCGAGUGCUUGCACUCAAUUGGAAAGAGGAGUGGCGGACGGGUGAGUAACACGUGGGUAACCUACCCAUCAGAGGGGGAUAACACUUGGAAACAGGUGCUAAUACCGCAUAACAGUUUAUGCCGCAUGGCAUAAGAGUGAAAGGUGCUUUCGGGUGUCGCUGAUGGAUGGACCCGCGGUGCAUUAGCUAGUUGGUGAGGUAACGGCUCACCAAGGCCACGAUGCAUAGCCGACCUGAGAGGGUGAUCGGCCACACUGGGACUGAGACACGGCCCAGACUCCUACGGGAGGCAGCAGUAGGGAAUCUUCGGCAAUGGACGAAAGUCUGACCGAGCAACGCCGCGUGAGUGAAGAAGGUUUUCGGAUCGUAAAACUCUGUUGUUAGAGAAGAACAAGGACGUUAGUAACUGAACGUCCCCUGACGGUAUCUAACCAGAAAGCCACGGCUAACUACGUGCCAGCAGCCGCGGUAAUACGUAGGUGGCAAGCGUUGUCCGGAUUUAUUGGGCGUAAAGCGAGCGCAGGCGGUUUCUUAAGUCUGAUGUGAAAGCCCCCGGCUCAACCGGGGAGGGUCAUUGGAAACUGGGAGACUUGAGUGCAGAAGAGGAGAGUGGAAUUCCAUGUGUAGCGGUGAAAUGCGUAGAUAUAUGGAGGAACACCAGUGGCGAAGGCGGCUCUCUGGUCUGUAACUGACGCUGAGGCUCGAAGCGUGGGGAG